CCUGAAGAUAAGGUAUUUGUACCUCCGCUGAGUUAAUAAUUGAGAUUCCUCUGUUAUUCCCCAGUCCCAGGCUUCUGUUCCUUUCGCUAUGGAAUGUCCAUACUCCUGCACAUCUCCAACGGGACGGUGAUAGCACAGCGUGUGUGCCUGAACCUCACAGUGGUGGUGAUGGUGAAUGGCACACAGACUCUGCCCAAUGUCUCUUCAGGGGAGAAUCCUGUCAAUACAACGGUAUUGUGGAUUUAUUAAAGGAGUUACAUCUUUAUUUGGAAUGAUAGGAGGCUUACUUUCUUCAAAUAUAGCUGGACAAAUCCUUAGUGAGUGUUAGCCAAGCACCUGAAGAGCCUGAGUGACCUCCUUAUGAAGAGAUGAGUGACCAGCACAGGAGGCCAGGCUGCAGGGUCACACACAGCACAGGAAGAAAGUGGAACAGAAAUUCCUGGGGCCAUCUCCCCACUACACAAGCUGUGUGAGCUUCUCUUUUGAAGCAUGUGUUUUUUUGUAACAUAUUACAUGUCUCAGUUUCAAAAGUGAGUUUAUGUAUCUAUCUUCAUCUUUGUAUGUUCUUCUAUUGUUAAA